rnacentral:rRNA from 1 species
GACCGCCUACGGAGGCAGCAGUGGGGGAUAUUGCACAAUGGGGGCAACCCUGAUGCAGCGACGCCGCGUGAGCGAUGGAGUACUUCAGCAUGUAAAGCUCUGUCAGCAGGGAAGAGAAUGACGGUACCUGACCAAGAAGCCCCGGCUAAAUACGUGCCAGCAUCCGCGGUAAUACGUAUGGGGCAAGCGUUAUCCAGAUUUACUGGGUGUAAAGGGAGCGUAGGCGGCAGGGCAAGCCUGAUGUGAAAGCCCGGGGCUCAACCCCGGGACUGCAUUGGGGACUGCCCGGC